rnacentral:rRNA from 1 species
ACAGUUUGAUCCUGGCUCAGGAUGAACGCUGGCGGCGUGCCUAAUACAUGCAAGUCGAACGAAGAUGUUCUUGUGUUCGCAUGAGAGCUCUUAGUGGCGGACGGGUGAGUAACGCGUUGGUGACCUGCCCUAAAGAAGGGAACAACCUCGGGAAACUGAGGCUAAUACCCUAUGUGCUUCAGAAGAUUAGAUCCUUUUGAAGUAAAGGUUCUGUGGACGAAAGGCCACGGUGCCGCUUUAGGAGGGGCCUGCGUCCCAUCAGCUAGUUGGUAGGGUAAUGGCCUACCAAGGCGAUGACGGGUAGGGGACCUGAGAGGGUGACCCCCCACACUAGCACUGAAACACGGGCUAGACACCUACGGGUGGCAGCAGUAGGGAAUCUUGCACCAUAGACGAAAGUCUGAUGCAGCAACGCCGCGUGUGCGAUGAAGGCCUUCGGGUUGUAAAGCACUUUUCUGAGGGAUGAGAAAGGACAGUACCUCAGGAAUAAGUCUCGGCUAACUACGUGCCAGCAGCCGCGGUAAUACGUAGGAGGCGAGCGUUAUCCGGAUUUAUUGGGCGUAAAGCGCGUGCAGGUGGUUUGGUAAGUUGGGUAUGAAAUCUCCUGGCUUAACUAGGAGAGGUUGCUCAAAACUACCAUGACUAGAGGACGGUAGAGGAAGGUGGAAUUCCCGGUGUAGUAGUGAAAUGCGUAGAUAUCGGGAGGAACACCAGUGGCGAAGGCGGCCUUCUGGGCCGUUCCUGACACUAAGACGCGAAAGCAUGGGUAGCAAACGGGAUUAGAAACCCCGGUAGUCCAUGCCGUAAACGAUGUGGACUUGAUGUCGGCGAUGUAAAAGUUGUCGGUGUCGUAGUUAACGCGAUAAGUCCACCGCCUGGGGAGUACGAUCGCAAGGUUAAAACUCAAAGGAAUUGACGGG